rnacentral:rRNA from 1 species
UACGGAGGGGGCUAGCGUUGUUCGGAAUUACUGGGCGUAAAGCGCACGUAGGCGGCUUUGCAAGUUAGAGGUGAAAGCCCGGGGCUCAACUCCGGAAUUGCCUUUAAGACUGCAUCGCUAGAAUUGUGGAGAGGUAAGUGGAAUUCCGAGUGUAGAGGUGAAAUUCGUAGAUAUUCGGAAGAACACCAGUGGCGAAGGCGACUUACUGGACACAUAUUGACGCUGAGGUGACGAAAGCGUGGGGAGCAAACAGG